UUAACCAAAACCAAAAAGAGGUAUAUUAUUGUUAAUAAUAGAAUUGAAAAAAUUUUUUUUCUGGUUA
rnacentral:tRNA from 1 species